AACGACUUUAAGAGUCAGUGGAAGAUGAUACGGCUCUGUCACUGAGGAAGACCUCAUGGUGUCAUGGCAGCUUAAAGUAGUGAUAGGUUGGUGGGAUGAAAGGAAGGUGAGCAUGAGGAAGCAGAACACACGGGGAACAAGAGCAUCAUGGCAUUCUGGGUCAGAAGCCGGUAACCAAGGGAAAUCAAGACGGCAAAGGCGUGGUCAUCAGAAAGCAGAAAAGCUAGAGCAUCCAGACAGUCAAUAGUAUGAGCUAAGUGUGACUUCAUGGGGCAGAUCAGACUUCAGCCAAACUGGGGAACAGAGGUACAGCCUUUGCGGUCCUGGUGUGGAAGCAGCUUGCUCCAGCCUCGGCUGCUUGUGUUUGCCUACUGUGUGAGAGCCGCCUCUGAGCAAACUGGCACUGCGUAUAGUGACAGUUGAAGAACUCUCUCUCAGAGGGAAGCAACAGAUAUACUGAGGGAGAUGGUACUCCUGCUGGGCCUGAAAGAUAAAUAGGGAAUUUGGACAGCAGAAAAGAAUAUAACUGCUGUGAGGUUUAAGCAAACAGGUAAAAGCAGUUCCAGUAAAGGUGUUUAUGUUGAGCUCUAUCUUUGUGUUAAGAAGGGCAUAAUCUGUACCACUAGGUCCAGCUAAUGAGGAAAUAGUGACUAAGUCUAAUAUAUAUUUUGGAGUUAUGGCUACUGGAAGGUAUGGAUUAUCUCCAUAGAAAAACUUACAUAGACUCUUACAUAUAACUGCAAGGGGUUUGCAUACUCUCUGAAGGCCACAUUGGGAGCCCACGUUUAGAAUUACUUGUUUAGACUGUACGGUCCAAUUGGGGAAGCACCAGUUCUAUCACGGUGACACUUCUGGCCAUACAAAGACAUGAGGGAGUGCCCCUCUUAAGAAGCACUGCCUAACAAUACUAGUUUGCUUUCCUGGGGCAGGAAUCAGGCCCCAUACCUCCCUGGUGCUAUUACACUCAGAUGGUGGUAGGGGAAUUCCAUGGAAUGAGAAAAUGUUAUUCAUGAGAAAUAAGUUGGACUAGAGUUUGGCGCAGAGUUCUUUACACCCCAUUUACUGACUUCUUUGUGAGACUUCUUCUUUCUGGGAGGAAGUUGAUGAGUUUAUGCCAGAUAGGUAGGGUAGGUAGCAACCAGGAUGUAGUUAUGUUUCUGAUAGUUCUUAGUCUUGUGUGUUUUGAUCUCUUGAUUAAAAUUCCCCAGAGUUACUCAGAAUCUCUAAAAAUAUUCUAUGACACAGCAACAUGCUGAUCAGUUUUGCUACUUUUUCAUGAAGUAGGAUUGUUACCAAAGAGAAAACUGCAAGGGAUGUGCUGCCCAAUCAGAGGAGGCUUCUUCAUCCUUCAACUCCAUGAUGAACUCUAAUAUGAAGUGGCAGAAGAAGACGUUGUUCAGGUAGCUCAGAUUGUCAAGAAUGAAAUGGAAAGUGCUGUAAAACUGUCUGUAAAAUUGAAAGUGAAAGUGAAAAUAGGUGCCAGCUGGGGAGAGCUGAAGGACUUUGAUAUGUAACUGUGCUGUUGAUGAAGUCCUCCCAGGGAAGCCUGUGCAGAUAUAGUCACCUGGAAAGAACAGAGAUGACCCUUUCACCUACCUCAGGAAAACGAACUUUCAAGUCUUCAUAGACUUAGCCUAGUAAUUUUAUAGUGAGAGUUUCAAACUAUGUAUCAGGGUCCGUUCUUUGUAGCAUCAAAAACUUUUGGGGGUUAGGGGAAGUGAAAUACCAAGUAUAAUAGUUACACUCACUUUCAAAGAGCAUCUAUGAAUUUGCCUUUUGUAAUUUACUGUGGCUUUAAACAUAUUCAGGACAGAUAUUUGAAAUAUGCACUUGGCACUUUGGCUCCACAUGUCUGGGUAAACCAUGAAGAAAAUGAAGCUGCUUCCUCUGCUGACCCUGACAGGAGCCAUAGGUGGAUAAAGAUUUGGUUUCACCCUGGUGGUGUCAGGCAUUGUGUGUGACUUCUUUUCCCUCUAAUAUCACUUUUAGAGUAUUGAAAUAGUAUUUCACAAUAGUAUUGGCUAAUAAAUUAUGAAUUCUAUAAAGCGGUAAGACUUGGUAUGGCUGGAGUCUAGGAAUGAAUAUGCAUGAAAUGUUUCUUAUUGCUUUUCCUUCCCUAAUUCAUACAAUGAAUGUAUUUGGAAUACUUAUAUAUCAUAAAAUAAACUAAACCUCUUCAAGAGGUAUCCUGUUCUGUAAGAUCAGAUGUUUUUAUUGCAGGUAAAUAUAAUACUGCCAGAGAUGGAAAAUACCCCCUUAUCAGUCCCUUAGUGCCUCUUUCUAUUUGUGGCAUGGUGAGAAAAACCCAUGCUGAAAAGAUUAUACUUUGUAAUCUCAAUCAGAGGUAUGGAGCUGAUCUUCUUGCUGUUGAAAUAAAAUGAAUUCAUGAGAAACUUUAUAUCAACAGUUGUUUUGUUAAAAACGGUAAGUGUCAGAAACUCGUGUUCCUUAUUUACUCACUCCAUAGCUUGUUCAGCAACAUCUGAGUACAUAGGAAGCACUGAUUAUAUUCUUAGUUACCAGAACAGCUCUUUCAUGUUUAUUAAUCAGAAUAAAGAAAAGAUAUUUGCUUUAUAAAGUGUAGUGCAUUAUUAGUAGUUGGGUAUUAAUGCAUAAGAGACUUAGACGUAGUUUUUUGGGGCAUUGAGGAGGGCAGAGAUGGCAGCAGUAAGAGGGAAGAUAUCAUUCUUUCUUGAGUUUUUUCCAUAUUUACCUACAAUGUUUCUUGAAAGCUGAAGUGCUGUCAGUAUUCUGGUAGGCUUGAAAGAUCUGGCACAAGAGAAAGCUCAAUCUGUUUACCUCUGAGUGUUCUUCAAACAUGAGGGCAAAUAAAAGUCACUCCUGCCUCCUUCUCUGCAGCUGUGGGCCAGUAUGUGUAGUCACAUGCAAGUUCUCAUUCUGUUUGACCUGUCAACUGGACCUGAAACAGGCCUUCUCCACUUUGCAUGAUUCAGAUAUGCACAAAUCCCGGUUACUAUGGUUUACUUAAUAACACGAGCCCCCCCGACAACACAAUUCGAAUUUCAGUUACCGGUGGAUAUUAACUACAAGUAAUUCCAUGAGAUUCAAACUUCACGAAUAGUUCUUCAAAUCACAACCACUGCGUAAAUAAGAAAUGCAUAUUGUGUUAGGCAGAAUAACGCACCCCACCCCAAAGUUCACAGCUUAAUUCCCAAAACCUAUGAACUGUUAUAUUACAUGGCAAAAGGGACCUUGUUGGUGUGAUUAAGUUAGAGAUCUUGAGGUGGGUGAUUAUCCUGGAUUAUCUGAAUGGUUCCAUUGUAAUCACCGGGAUCUUUAUAAGAGGGAAGCAGAUGGUCCGAGUCAGGGAAGAUGUGACAAAAACAGAGAACUAUUUGAAGAUGCUACACUGCUGGCUUUAAAGUUGGAAGAAGGGGCCAUGAGCCAAGGAAUGCAGGAACCCUCUAAAAUUGGAAAAGGUAAGGAAAUGGAUUCUCUCCUAGUACCUUCUGGAGGGAUGUAUCCCUGCCAACACCUUGACUCUAGCCCAGUUAAGACCAUUUUGGACUUCUGUCCUUUAGAACUGCAUGACAGUAAUUUGCAUUGUUUUGAGCUAGUAAGUUUGUGGAACUGGUUAUCGCAGUAAUAGGAAAUUCAUACAUGCAUCCUGAUGGGACCAGUUACAUCACUUCUUUCAAAGGCUGUCUAUGAUUGGUCACUUCACAUCUGUUAUUCACUUUACUUACAGAUGGCAAAGUGUAGUUGUGUUGAUUGCUUGCCUCCCAAUGGUAAAUCCGCAUUCUACAAAAAUGGAUAAUCAAAAGUGGAAAUUAGCUAAUAAAGAUGAAAGUGUACCAGAGGAAUAAAAAUGAUAAUACUGGAAGUGAAAAUCAAAUUGAACAUAAAUGGAAUUACAGAACAACUAGCUGCCUGGGCAUGCUGACACUGCUGCUGUUUGAGAUACUGUAGAUACGUGACCUGAGAAACAGUGAAGGCUCAGUUAACACAAAUGAGGAAAAUGGUUGUGACAAAAGAAUAAAGAUGUCCCAGAGAAAGUGAUGCCAACAAAAAACUUCAUUAUUUUUUAAUCUAGAACUUACUGUAAUUCCAUCAAAGUAUCAUCAGGAUUUUAUAUUUUUUUAGAUAGAUAAUAUCUUAAGACUCACCUGGUAGAAGAAUAGUUUUUAAAUUAUUUUUUAAUACACUGGUAGAAUAAAAGUCAACAUCUAUUUAAAUUGUUUGAACGAGCAUGCCCUUUAAUUCAGCAAUUCCACUAAACCUCUUACCUAGAGAAACACUUGCACAUAUGCAAAAUACAUGUGCAAAUGUUCACUGCAGUCUUGUUUGUAAAAUCAAGAGACUGGAAAAUAUCUAAUACUAGUAAAAGUGUGGUAACAAGUUAUGGUUAUUGACACCAUGGAAUAAUAUAAGUGAGUAAAAAAGAAUGAAUUAUAGGUACCAAUGUAGAACAAUCCGAGGUAUAAUGGAGACAUGAAUAAGCACUUUGCAGCAUAGAAAAAUAUUUAGAAGGAAACACAACAAACUGAUAACUCGUUAAUUUAGAUGAGUGGGAGGUAGCCAAGGGAAAUACUUAAUGUUGUCUAAAUUUAUCAUAUGACUAUUACACUAUCCAUUUAUAUAUCAUUUGUGCAAUUAAAACACAUUU